UGCUGUGCUUCCUCUUUGAUCCCCUGGGACUCUAUAUCUCCUGCUGUCACAUGAGGGAUUUGAACAGGAGUCCAGGGUCUCUUUCAAUCAUGCAAUUCUGUGACUCUGGGUAGGGGGACCAAAUACCCUGGGACGCAGGGCUUUCACUGCACAAAUUGGGAGAGCCGUGGCAAUCGGGCUGGCUCUCCACCCCAACUCCUGCCUUCUAUACCGUUCCCACCACCAUCUUCCUGAUAUACCACUGAGGGCAAAGAUCAAACAUAAUCCUGAAAAGAUCCAAGCAUAAGUUAGCAAUCAGAGGAAGCCACAGGGUCAUGUGGUCAACCACCCGUCUCUUCCUCCUGGCUAGAGAGCCAAGGACCAGCCAGCUCUGCAGACCACGGCACAAGACCAUCCUACCUGCAGCUCUCGGUCUCUGUUCACCUCUGUGGGAAGACACCAGUAUUUCCACAAUCUCACAAGCUGAUGAAUAUAAAUAGGCCCACUUCCAAGCCAGAAGGGAAGACCCCCAAGGGUGGUCAAGCCCCGUUAUUUGGGGGCCACUUUGAAGAGAGAUUGAGAGCUGCCAUUGGACAACAGGAAGAGGCCAAGGGGACCUGCAGCCUGGGACACCACCGC
ensembl:lincRNA